AGAGUUUGAUCAUGGCUCAGAACGAACGCUGGCGGCAGGCUUAACACAUGCAAGUCGAACGCACUCUUCGGAGUGAGUGGCGCACGGGUGAGUAACGCGUGGGAACGUACCAUUUGGUAGGGAAUAGCUCCGGGAAACUGGAAUUAAUACCCUAUACGCCCUGAGGGGGAAAGAUUUAUCGCCAAAUGAUCGGCCCGCGUGAGAUUAGCUAGUUGGUGAGGUAAUGGCUCACCAAGGCGACGAUCAUUAGGGGUACUGAGAGGUUAAACCCCCACACUGGUACUGAGACACGGACCAGACUCCUACGGGAGGCAGCAGUAAGGAAUAUUGGACAAUGGCCGCAAGGCUGAGCCAGCCAGGCCGCGUGCAGGAUGAAGGUGCUAUGCAUUGUAAACUGCUUUUGUAACAGAGAAAACCCAGGUACGUGUACCUGGCUGAUAGUAUGUUAAGAAUAAGCAUCGGCUAACUUCGUGCCAGCCGCCGCGGUAAUUC
rnacentral:rRNA from 1 species